GUACACGCUGUGACUAGCAUAUCAAUAAGCGGAGGAAAAGAAACUAACAAGGAUUCCCCUAGUAACGGCGAGUGAAGCGGGAAGAGCUCAAAUUUGAAAUCUUAAAGGGUUUCCCUUUACGAAUUGUAGUUUAAAGAAGUGUUUUCUGUUGAGGUUUUGGUAAAAGUUCCUUGGAAUAGGACAUCAUAGAGGGUGAGAAUCCCGUAUUUGACCUUUACUUUCAACUUUGUGAUACACUUUCAAAGAGUCGGAUUGUUAGGGAAUGCAGUCCAAAAUGGGUGGUAAAUUUCAUCUAAAGCUAAAUAUUGGCGAGAGACCGAUAGCGAACAAGUACCGUGAGGGAAAGAUGAAAAGAACUUUGAAAAGAGAGUUAAACAGUACGUGAAAUUGUCAAAAGGGAAGCGUUUGACACCAGUGUUGUUUUUCUGAAAAUCAAUUAAAGAACUGUUUAUGCUAAGCUGUUUAGACUUUAUCAGCUAACUGUUUAGUUUUGAGCUUUUCUUUAAUGCACUUUUCAGUUAACAAGUCAACAUCAAUUUCUUUUGCUGUAAAAAAGCUUGAGGAAGGUGGCUUGAGAUUCGUCUUAAGUGUUUAUAGCCUCUUGCCUAUGCAGUCGGAGAGAUUGAGGUCUGCAGCGUAGAUCCUUCGGGGCUAAAUGCAUUUGUGCUAAGUUAUAGCAUUUUAUAGACAACUUGUUGACUAUGAUUUGUCUUGUAGCUUACUCGCUUAUGUUAUUUUACCUACGCUUAGGAUGUUGAGUCGUAGAGCACGCAG
rnacentral:rRNA from 1 species